GAGAGAGCGCGCCUUUACCGCGGCCACUUUCCCCCUCCGGCGCCCCGGGGCUGGGGGAGGCCGGGCUACAGCGCCCGCAGCCCCCGGCCCCGACACGGCUGCCCCACUCCGCAUGACACCCCUGGCGCCAGGGGAGCACCCCCUCCACCCAGCCCCUCGGCGGCGGGACCCCCUCGGCCCCAGGGCUGGCGCGGUGUCGUCCCCCGGCGCCGCCGCCCGGGCGGGAGCGGGAGCGGUCCCCGGCCCCACCGCCCUGCGGCAUGCGGCGGGAUCCCGCGGCACCCCUUCGCCCGUACCCCGCCGACCCGGCGGGAGCCGCUGACAGGUCGCCGCCAGUGGCCCCGGCACCUGCGCUGCGCUCACCGCCCUGAGAGGAGGGGCUGCCGGCCAGACCGCGGCGCGGCGGAGCGGGAGGGAGGGAGAGAGGGAGGGAGGCGGCGGCGGCGGCGCACGGCCGGCGGCGGGCGGGCCCCCGGGGGCGGCGGGCGCCCCUCGCCCUCGCCCCGCCGCGGGGCCGGGCGGCCGCGGCGCCACCGACACCUUACUUCCUGCUUCGCUACCCGGGGCCAGACCCAUCGCGGCGGAGGGAUCCUGCCGCCUCCCGCAGCCUCCUCCCCCUCCUGCUUCUGCUUUUCCCGGCUCCCUGCUGCAAGGAAAUUAUUUGACAGCGAUUUGCUGACACCGAGGUUUUUUUUCUUUCCUUUUUUUUUUUUUUCUUUCUUUCUUUUUGCAUCACGGACUCGGCAGCGCGGCGGGCGGGGGAGGCCGUGCCGGAGGAUGGGCGCCGUACUGUAAGUGAAGUAGGACCGAGCCCGGGGCAGCUUCGUAAUAAAUUAAUAUCGCGAUUUGCUCCCGCCUCGCAGACACCGCCACGAGCCCCGCGCCCGCCCCCCCUCGCCCGCCUGCACUUGUUGCAGACUUCGCGCCAGGUAGGGGCAACGCUUCGCAAGUUUCGUUUUUACAGGAGCCGGGGCUGCGCUGGAAGGAGAGGAGGAAAAAAAAAAAAAAAAAAAAAGGAGGGGGGGGAGGGAGAAAAAAGUUUGCAGCUUGCGGUUGACUUUCGGUCUGCAGCGCCGAGGCCCUGCCGGCUGCUGCCGCCUCCUGCCCGGCCGGGCGCGGGCGGGCGGGGGGCACUGCCCGGUACCUGCCCGGGCCGGGCGGGCGGCGGGGCCGGCGCGGGGCGCCCCCACCGCGGCGCUGCUGCGAGUCCCGGGCGCCGCCGCGCCGUGCCGUGCCGUGCCGGGAGCAGAGGCGGGGAAGGGCCGCUCGGCGAGGCUCGCCGCGGAAGUUCUCCGAGCCGCGCUGCCCGUCGCGGCCCCUGACACGAGUGGGCGACCCGCGCGCUACUCCUCCGGUCCUUCCUCCCGCAGCGCGCUCGGUGCCGUCUCGGUAUCAGUGUUGGAAGCGGAGCGGUCCCGGGGCUCGGCUGUGGAGCCCUUCCCGGGCGGCACCGCGUGGGGCGAGCUCGUUUUGGAGGAAUGGGAAUUUCUCCCUCCAUUCCCGCGGGAGAGUAGCGCGCGGCGAGCUGGGCGCUGGCGGGGCGCUCCUGGUUUCUGGCCCGUCAAAAUUACGGGGUGGUAAGGAACAAAAACUCUUAGCCAGGUGUUUAAAUACUGGAGAGGCGAUUUGCAAGUGAAAUUAAUCGGCAGUUAACCAGUUAAUGGAUAAUGCCUAUUCAUCCUUCUGCUGACUUUACAGAGUGGUUUUCACGUCUGCCUGUCAACUAACCAGGCUUGACUGAUCGAGAUGUAAGCCUUCGUCCAGUAAAAUCCGACCUGCACUUGCUGUCCUUGUGCAUCAGUGCUGGUCAUCAUUCAGAUAGGUACAGGUGAGGUUCACACGUUUUUAAACACUGACAUGAUGGCAGCAAAACACAUAGAAUGACCCACAGAGUAACUAUUUAUGGAAAAUACUGCGAAGUGCUUAACUGUGUGAUUAAUGCUUUAAACAGGUAAUCAGUGAGGGGGAACUUUUAUGCCUUUGAUAGCUACAAUUUUACUGUAGAGAUGGGAAGAGGAGAGAGUUCACCUGGCACGGUUGGCCUGCAAGGGCCGCUCUGCUGCCUGUACCCAUCCUGCCUGGGGCUCUGGCCCGAAGAGCUCCCCUGGGGACCAGGGGUUUGUCUGCUGCCCCCACUCAGGGUAUAGUGUCCUGAUGAAGUGACCCAUCCUUACAGUGGCGGUCUGUGCGUGAGUUGUUCCUGCAUGCGGUACCUGGAGCAGUUUGCUGUCAUCGCUUAUCUACUUUGUGGUGUUGGAUGUUCAGUUGGAUCAGAACAGUGCCAUUGCAUUAAUAAGGUGCAUCUGUCUAGAAAUAACCCACUUCACUUUGUUGCCCAGUGAAGUGAUGGCGUUUGAAAUGCCCUUGUUGGUAUGUUACGUUUUUUCUGAGUGUUGUCCAAGGCACACAUAUAACUACAGAGGGGCUGCUCCAUGAGUGCUCUAUGCAUGCAUACUAUGCAGCUUUGCGUAAAACAAAUAAAGACUUUUUUUAGCAUUUAGAUAAGUGAUUUUUCGUAUGAAGAAAAUGUGCUGUAUGUGUUUUUCUUUCUUCUGUAGAGGAUACUCUGAUAAACUUAGGAAAAAUUAAAGGCUUAGUAUAGCCUAUUCAAAAAGUUUUGGUGCAAAUAAACACUCUUACAAUCUGUUCUGCUACCGUUGAUUAGCAGCUUGUGUUGCUGAAGUUGGGAGACCUCAGUGAGGACCUGAGCAGCACAGUGGUGUGGUAGUCAAACGUGUGUAUCUUGAAAAGCCAAAAAAACUCAAAUACAAGUAAUGCACUUCACUGUGAGACUUGGCCUGAGUGCGGAGUGGAGAACUGGCCUCUCGGUAAGACGGAGGCUUAAUCACGCUGCUAUAUCAAUGUAUGUCCUACUGUUGGCAUCCCUCCCUGGGGAAGAGGGAUGAGGCCAUGGGUAGCUAGGCUGGCAUCCUGCCUCCGGUGUUUAAUAUCAUGGGCCAACAUGAGCAUAAAUAAACCACAGCAUGACUAACCUCUCUACCUAACAUUGACUCAUGUUGUAUUUUGAUAGACUGAAAAAGUCUCCAUGCCUGAGCCAUUUCAUUUUCUCAACCUGUAUGUUACUGAUGAUGACCUGCUUAUUGGGAAUACUCCAGUAUGCAUUAAAGACCAUAAAGCAAGACUUUGUUUCAGGUUUGUUUUGCUUUUGCGUCGUGCUCAACUAGCCUAGAUAGAGAAAAGGAAUUCCUAGAUUUUAAACUCAGAACUCUGUUGCUUCUCUUCUUCUGGCCAUUUUAAUUCUUCGAGUGAUACAGUGAGGCUUGCUAUUAGAAACUGGGCUCAUACCUUGGCAUCUGGCAGGGAGUGUGAGAAAAGUGUAAGAAGAGCAGUUCUGUAAAUCACUGUAGGUUUCCUAAAGCAGUAAGUUAAUAUUUUGCUGUGAAUAUUUUCAUCUUAUUUUAUUUUUUUUGUUUGUUCUAAUCAAGUGGGGGAUAUGUCACCUAAAAACUUACUCAGCCAAGUCUUUGAGAAGGCCCUUCUCUCCCUUUGCCAAUGCUGUAAUGGGACGCUAUAAAAAAGAAGGGCCCUGCAUUGUGCCUCCUUACUAUGCGUCAUAAUUGUGAGAUAAGGCAGUUUCAUUUCAGCUUCCUUAGAAAUAUGUGUUUGUUUUUUGGUUUUUUUAAAAAAAGCAAGCAGUGUUUGACAGAUACAAAAAAAUGGUUGAUGUGGAAACAAUUUGUCUCCUCCCCUUGCAUUCUUUUGAGAGCUGCUUAGCUGCACAGUUCCAAUGAAAAAUUAUCAUCAGAACUGUAAUUUUUUCUGUCCCUAAAAUUAACAGAUCCUUUUGCCUGCCCUCCACCUGAGAGAAGUAGGCAAAAGCAUCUUUAAGUGCAUGUAUGCAUUCUGCCUGGAGUAGCUGCCACACCCUUGGUUAUUUACGUAAGGUGAGGAGCACAAGUGGUCACACUGACUUCCAUGGCACUGCUUACAAGAGUAGAGUUACUAUGUGUGUAAGUGGGGGCGGGGGGGGCCUGCAUUCAAAACUAAAGAAAAACGAAGGCAGCGAAUUCCAUACGUUUUGCUGCAUGUGAAGUUAUAAAACCUCUUCUUAACUUGUCCAUCUCUGAGAAACCUAUUACUGUAAUCAGUUGCAGGUCUGUGAGGGGAAAUCAGGCCUUCUAAGAUAAAGACGAAAAUAGCACAUUCAAAUAUAUUUUAAGAAAGGCGACUCUUCCUUCAAAGAGUAGGUCUGAACCUGGUUCAAAGAACAGUAGCAAUAAUUUUUUUGGGUUGUUUUUUGUCUCUGACAGCUCUUUGCUUGAAACCAAACAGAUUUAAGAGAUUCAGUGAAAUUACUUUUGAGCAGCAUGCAUUUAGGCACCAAGAGUUAGCUUAGGGAGCUUGUGGGAGUAUCUCCUAUUAGAUCUGAAAUGCUGAGAAUGGACUCUUGCACCAUCAUCUCCUUGCUGCUGCCACUGGCCAGACUGGCCAGGAGGACAAAGUGGGUGACACAGUCGGUCAGCAAGUCAUAUCAACACUGGUUCUUGCUGGAUGUUGGUUUCUGCGGGCAGAAGGAAUAGUGUUUUUGAUAGCAGUUUGUCUUCUCUCUUUCUGGCUUGCCUGUGUCACUCCAUGAUGGUGGAGAUGUGGGCUCACCUGGACCUGCUCAAAACAGCAGCAGGAAAAAAACAGAGACCAUUGAUUUGUGUGGGGAAAACCUAGAAAAUGUGCUCAUUUUGCUGCCACAGAAAUUUGAAGGCAAAUACAUCAUUUAUGUUACUUUCUACUUGAGAGGAUAAUGGUCUGGGAAACCCAGGACAUGGUCUAAAUAUAAGCCCUAUUACCCUGUAAUAGUGUUUGAUUUUAUUGUUUUUUUAAGUUUAAACUCUUUGCAUUAGAGUGGGGUGUUGCAGGGUUUUGGGGCAGUCGUGUAGCGUUAGGUAUAUUUUGAGGUUCUGAGUGAAAUGAGUCUUGUGGUUCCAGCGUAAUGUGUUGCACACCAACAGCCCACCUAAGUUUUCAUAAUUGACUGAUAAUUUGCUCUGGAAAGACCCAAAAUCCUGAUAUGAGGCAGAUUCAAAAGGUAGUUGGGUUUUUUUUUUUAGAUUUUCUUUUUAGUUUGUCAUUUUCCAAUUUACAGUUUAAAUUCUGUUAGAAUUUCAGACGAAUUGCUUCAGCUUCCCGUCCACCAUUCAGGUGGACUGUUGCCACUUCCCAGGCACAUGGUGACAAGUGCCGAGGUUCCAUACCCCACCAAUGUCUAAAGCAGCCAUCCUGGGUCAUGUAAAAUUUUUUCUCCUGUCUGUUUAGUUCAGCAAGAAAAUGGUUUUUGUCUUUCCCCUCCCUCCCCUCAUCUACUGCUCAUGUUAAGAUUUUUUUAUAGAGCCCGCAUUGUGAUAUGUCCUUGAAGUGCAGAGCAGCAAGGUUUUGUUUUCCUUUGCCAUUUUUUCUCUUCAUGUUUAAAGUUCAUUGCAGCUAUAGCAAAGCAAGAUUGCUGUAGAUGGUCUUUUCUGAUUCCUUGCUCUCCGCCCCUUUGUCAAAAAUGUCAUGUUCAGUAAUGAGGAAAAACUCAGACUUAGGUACUAAAACUUACUCCAGCGAACCUUGGAGUAUAAAGACUGCAAAAAUACGGAUUGGGGAAGGAUUGCCC
ensembl:lncRNA